rnacentral:rRNA from 1 species
GAUGAACGCUGGCGGCGUGCCUAAUACAUGCAAGUCGAGCGAACAGAUGAGGAUCUUGCUCCUCUCACGUUAGCGUCGGACGUGUGAGUAACACGUGGAUAACCUACCUAUAAGACUGGGAUAACUUCGGGAAACCGGAGCUAAAACCGCAGAAUAUAUUGAACCACAUGGUUCAAUAGUGAAAGACAGUUUUGCUGACACUGAUAGAUUGAGCCGAACCGCAUUGGCUAUAUGGUAAGGUAACGGUAUACCAAGGCAACGACGAGUAGCCGCCCUGAGAGGGUGAACGGCCACACGGGAACUGAGGCACGGUGGAGACACCUAGGGGAGGACACAGUAGAGAAUCUUACGCGAUGGAGGAGAGCGUGACGGUGCAAAACGGCGUGAGUGAUGAAGGUGUUAGGAUCGUAAAAGUAUGUAAUUAGGCAGGAAGAAAUGUGUAAGUAGCUAGGAACGUAUUGACGGUACCUAACCAGAAAGCCACGGCUAACUACGUG